ensembl:lncRNA
CGGCGCACAGGUGCAGCUGCGCGCGGGAGAGAGAGAGGAAAACGCCAGCGGCCCCCUCCCUCCGGCUCACAAACCCAUCAUUAGGACAAUUUUCCUCGCGCGCAGAUCGGCAGGCCUGUGAUUUGAAUCUGUGGAUCACCUGUAAUAGUAGUUUUUAGCGCUCAUCUGAUUCCAUACAUUUAGCGCCGGCCCGGAGCCUGAGAGCGCGUUUGUGUCGCCAGCUGCAGCCGGAACUCUUUUAGCCGCUGACGCUGAUGGUUUUUACAGACCCUGUCCGUCAUAUCUCCGUUUGCGCUCGCAAUUACGCUAAUUAUUGAUUUUUUUCUUGCCGGAACAAUGACAAGGAGCCCCGGUUUCUCCGGGUGCGCAGGUUUGCCCCCGUGAUUGUCGCCUGCGUAAUUAACGGGGCGGAUCUUUAUGAUCGUCAUCUCUCUAUGGGAUGUAAACAAAUUAAACUAUUUUGACAAUAUGGCAAGGUUUCCUCCAAGACUGGACACAGUGAGUGAGUGAGUGAGUGAGUGAGUGAGUGAGUGAAUCACUACAACGCGCUCAUCUGCGGAGAAGUUUCCAAACGAGAUAAAACGUCCAACUUUGCUCUCCGUGUCCUUUGAUUUACUGCAGCCUUCAGUGAUCGAGUUCACACAGAGGUGCUGCAGCAGCAUCAUCAUCAGCAGCAGCAGUGGGAAACAAUUCUAGAGUGUGGAGUCUAACUGUUAUUGAUCGUGCGUUAUAAUUGUUAGCGAUGACUUCCUGUGUGCCACACUGGUGAAGAACACAUAAAGCUCUGAAUAUACUUAUUUAGCCAAGGCGGGGGGGUGGGGUCAUUCUGGUCAUCGGUUGUCAGGAAGAAAAAGAGAGAGAAACAAAACCAUUCGGAAGUUUGAGAUGCAAUCUUCUCGGAGAACUUCUAUCAGAACGUGAUGACAUUCGGGCGGCUUUUCUAUUGAAACUCGAGCGAGCAAACUCUUAUUUUCCACUCCAGGACUCUGGUAAUGGACAGACAGCAGCGGUCCGUGAGCCGCCCGCGGGCGCGUCACGCGGCUAAUGAAAGCGACGAACAUUAGCAGACCCCGCGCUCCUCUCCUCUCGGCCCAACAACAUCAUCUAUUAGCGCAGCGGCAUUCAUCACGCAGAGGGUCCUGCACUCCGCCGGUGACCUGCGUCACGAUAAUCGUGUGUGUCUAUAAAAAUGCAAUGAUGGGCCAAUGUCACGGGACGUUUCUCUGGCACUGAUAUUAUUCGUGACAGGUCUCGUUUUGACUCAAGGUGUCCUGGUCUUUCAGCGCCUCUGGCGAACAGCAGAGCUGGUGCCACACUCUCAAACAAACCCGAUGAAAAGUGACGCGAUGCGUACGGCGUCAGGAAAGAUCUGAGGCCGCGGCGCCACCUGAGGAAAGAAGAAAGAGAAAACCAUCUGGCAUCCGAGGCCUCGACGACACAUCAGCCCUAACAAGUCCCCGGAGACGCUCACGCUGGGCCGCUGUCCGUGAUGCAUUAAUCAUGUCCGAAUCCUCAAGACAAAGGGCCACACGUUUCUCGUCUGCAUGUGAAAUGAUGCGACGCGGGCCUGCCACGAGGUUAAACUCUCAAACGUGCUCUUUGAUGGGCUUUAAUGAGAUGUCAGCGUCCAGACAGAUUUCUCUGCUGUCCGGUAAAAACAGGCCACAGAGCACGAAGCCUGCUUAAAAACACACCUAGAUGUGUCCCGAUCUUCCACGCGAUCACAGCGUCAGAAGUGUGACGUUCAUCAGUCAAACCGAUGCACAGAGACACUAGACUGAAACACGUCCGUCUCUGGAUCUCCUCUAAGAGCUUCACACUGAUGAACUUUAACAAAAUCUGAUUUUCUGAAGGGAUCAGUGCUUGAACUGCCACAGAUCACCUUCGUUGUUUUUAUUAGUCCUCUGUGACUGCUAUCCAGUAGGAAAAAACUAUCUAAAAAUCUUUGACACAAAUAAAUUUACUUGAGAAGAUUUUAGAUAUUGUAACUGAAAAAUAUUACAGAACUUUUGUAGUGUUUGCAGUUCUCACCACAAUCAUACAGCAGGC